rnacentral:rRNA from 1 species
AGUCGAGCGGAUGAGAGGAGCUUGCUCCUGGAUUCAGCGGCGGACGGGUGAGUAAUGCCUAGGAAUCUGCCUGGUAGUGGGGGACAACGUUUCGAAAGGAACGCUAAUACCGCAUACGUCCUACGGGAGAAAGCAGGGGACCUUCGGGCCUUGCGCUAUCAGAUGAGCCUAGGUCGGAUUAGCUAGUUGGUGAGGUAAUGGCUCACCAAGGCGACGAUCCGUAACUGGUCUGAGAGGAUGAUCAGUCACACUGGAACUGAGACACGGUCCAGACUCCUACGGGAGGCAGCAGUGGGGAAUAUUGGACAAUGGGCGAAAGCCUGAUCCAGCCAUGCCGCGUGUGUGAAGAAGGUCUUCGGAUUGUAAAGCACUUUAAGUUGGGAGGAAGGGCAGUAACUUAAUACGUUGCUGUUUUGACGUUACCGACAGAAUAAGCACCGGCU